rnacentral:pre_miRNA from 9 species
UCUCGAUAGCGUUAAAGUCAACUCAAAUUUGUAUGGAGUUGGAAAGUUUGCCUACAUUUGCCACUAGAGGCGCCAACUGCAUACAAAUUUCAGUUAACUUUUACGCUAUCGA